GGAGACAGAACCGGAGCAGGUGCAGUGACAGGGAAGAAACAUCUGGUGCCUCUGAUCGGGUUUCAUUUGUGUCCAGCAUCAGAAGGUGCUGGGGGGAGAUGGGCUUUCUCAGAACCCAGGGCAGAGAAACCCCAGGUCACAGAGAGGGCCCCAAAUCAGGGCACACCUUGUCCGGAUUCUUCAGGGUUCGGAUCCCACCCUGUUUCUAAACCAGAGCUGGGCCAAGGGCAGGAGGGUGCUCUCUUUGUAAAGCCUGCCAGGACAAGUUGACCCCAGCGAGAGGAACAGAAGACAACUGGAGGAAAGGGAUGGCCCGUUGGGGCUGGACACAGACCGACUGGCUUUCCUCUGAGGUGGGAGUGAAGAGACUCCUGUUUCUGGGAGUUUCAUCCCAGGAUCAGCCACUGGGUUCGGCAGCACCUGUCUGGGGGGCAAGCCCGGAACGAGUCUCCAGCCUGACCUUCUCUGAUGAGCAGCCUCCCUCCUUCAAGAGGGAGUUGAGUCACCUGUUCUCAGCAGGAAGUGCCCUGGUAGAGGUUCAGACUCCACGUCUAAGGGAGAGAUUCUCAUCAGACUCGGGAACCAAGAAUGGGAUUCCGGGCAUUCGUGAACCCUUGAGAUGGUGUGUAAAGUUACCUAUGCACAUGUA